rnacentral:rRNA from 1 species
UGGGGAAUAUUGGACAAUGGGCGAAAGCCUGAUCCAGCGACGCCGCGUGGGUGAAGAAGGCCUGCGGGUUGUAAAGCCCUUUCGGUGGGGAAGAAAAGCCUCGAGCUAAUAUCUCGGGGUCUUGACGUAACCCAUAGAAGAAGCACCGGCUAACUCUGUGCCAGCAGCCGCGGUAAUACAGAGGGUGCGAGCGUUAAUCGGAAUUACUGGGCGUAAAGCGCGCGUAGGCGGCUUUGCAAGUCGGGUGUGAAAUCCCCAGGCUUAACCUGGGAACUGCAUUCGAGACUGCAUUGCUAGAGUAUGGGAGAGGGAAGUGGAAUUUCCGGUGUAGCGGUGAAAUGCGUAGAUAUCGGAAGGAACAUCAGUGGCGAAAGCGACUUCCUGGACCAAUACUGACGCU